AGUCAACACACCAGUGUGGGUGGAACGCCUGCAGCAGCCCAGCUCCUGGACGAAUCAGCUCGGCAGCCACCCAGAUCUCAGUGAGAUCGAGACGUGCAGCCAGCCCUGGGUGUGUGACAGGCCAGCUCUCUCCUCGUGACACCGGGAAACAAAGGGGAAGGAGUUGGUGUGGAAGGAAGCCAACAGAGGAGGACAGAGCCACGGCGCCUGCAGGGAAACGGAGCCAGAGGCCUGACAUCACAGAUAAACCCAUCAGUCCCCUUUUGUGUUUAAUCUCCCUGGGCCUGGUUACUGCGUCCCUGGCUGACACCUUGCUGAUCUGUGUUCUGUUUCUUUUUCUUGCAGUGUGCUGAAAAAAUGUGCGUUUAACUGCAAGGAAGAGAUGAUAUUGGUAUCUUCUUUGUAUCAUUACAUUUAAUGCACAUUAAGGGCAUCUAGAAUGCAUUUUUUCUUACAUCAACUCCGCUGUGUGAAGAAAGCAGUGCUUGGAGCACCGACUGCAUUCACAGAGCAGAGCCCAUCCUCAGGGCGGUGGGACCCCUUCUACUCUGGCCCUGACCCUGAGGUAGGGUUCCUGGCACGUGACUCACGGAGUAAAUAAUCGAUAAGUAAAACCCUCUUACCAGACUAGGAACAAUAAGCAGGGUUGACCCCAGUCAGGCCACAACAAGAAGAUGCCAGGACAAGUAUGAACCAGUGGGACAAGUAACCUGCUCUUUUUCACCCAUCACGGACCCCUCUGUCUUCUUCUCUCUCAAAAUCAACCCAUUAAAAAGGAAAACCAUUCAGUAAAAUUAAAGCGUCUUCAUAUGCAAAGAGCAUAAGCUGAGAGCCUGGCCACACAGGGAAGCACAGCAUCUGCCCUGUGACUGCGGGAGGCCUCCCACCCCAACAUGUGAAAACCCGACUGGGUGACAGGGACCAGAGCAGCAGCCCUCUCUCCCCACCACGGGAAGGCUGAGGGG